rnacentral:lncRNA from 10 species
CCAUGGAAACACAAGAAAGGGAUGACUAAUUCUAACAUGAAAGAGUGCUGCAGGAAUUUUCCAGAAGUGCUGUUAGAGCUAUGUCUUGAGGCAAAUGUCAGGAUCAUAAGGUAAAGAAGAGGAGAAGCAUUUUAGAAACAUGACCAAUAAAGGCACGGAACCAUUAGGAUAAAAGUGCAUACACAGGAUGGUGAGCCUUCUGCCCAGAAGGCUGGAGUGCAGAUUUCCAAUAGGCUAUGACCAAAGGAUGGAAGAUAAAGGGAGUGAGGCUGCAAAAGUUGAGUGAGGUCAGAUUUUUUAAAGUGUUGGAUGUCACACAAAGGAGUUUGGAUUUUUUUUUCCUGAGGGCAGUGGGGCGCUAUCAAGGCUUUUACAUAGGAAAAUUACGUUUUAUAUCUUUGGCUUUAGGAAGAUAACUUUCCCGUAGAAGAUGAAUGGUGGGAAAAAGUAGAGAUUGAGGAAAAUAUGUACGAUGUAUUUUUUACAAAAACAUGUGCAGAUAUAUAAAUGCACACAUGCAUGUGAGCACACACGUAAGAACAC